rnacentral:rRNA from 1 species
CCUACGGGAGGCAGCAGUGAGGAAUAUUGGUCAAUGGGCGGGAGCCUGAACCAGCCAAGCCGCGUGCAGGAAGACGGCGCCACGCGUUGUAAACUGCUUUUGUCGGGGAACAAAGGGCCCUACGUGUGGCGUUUUGAGUGUACCGGAAGAAAAAGGACCGGCUAAUUCCGUGCCAGCAGCCGCGGUAAUACGGAAGAUCCGAGCGUUAUCCGGAUUUAUUGGGUUUAAAGGGAGCGUAGGGCGGACGUCAAGCUGGAGGUGAAAUGCCCGGGCUCAACCCCGGCCGGGCGGGGGAAACUGUCGGACUAGAGACGGCGGAAAGUACGCGGAAUGCGUGGUGUAGCGGUGAAAUGCAUAGAUAUGGCGCAGAACUCCGAUUGCGAAGGCAGCGUACCGGCGCCGGACUGACGCUGAGGCACGAAAGCGUGGGUAUCGAACAGGAUUAGAUACCCUUGUAGUC